GAUGAUUUCCCAUGUGGAUUUCCAAUGGGGUCAAGUCAUUUUUCCAGAAGGGCCAGAGGGGCAAGGCAAUUUUUCCAGCAGGGUGUAAAGGAUUUUUCCGCUAGGGGUUAAUUAAAUUUUUCCAGUGAGGUCAGAUAUUUUUCAAGGGCUUCGAGAUGGCCUUUCCAUUGGGGUUGCAUGGGGGGAAGAACACUAUAUAAACUUGCCUCUUGCCCUCUUGCCUUAUAUUCAAUAAAUUGAAGCAUCAGCAAGACUCAAUCAUUGUAAGAUAACUGCCGGUGAAUCUAUAUUGUUUUAAUUAAAUAUCCCAACACAGCCUGCUAUGCCUUUUGGAAUGAAUAUUAAUAAUGGCUUACGGUUCAAUAAGUACAAUAAACUAUAUGCCCAGCAUGACGUACACAUAAAAAUAAAUAUCAAAUUACAUGACUUAUAUCAAACUACUUAAUCCACUCCUACCAUAUACGAUUCACUGGUAUAAGUAAGUAUACUGUAAAUGUUUCUUUAUUAAACAAGGGUAUUCUAUUGAGGUUUUUAUGAAUUAAUAGUAUAGAGGGCAAAAUAACUCAAAUAUGAUUGACUAAUGAUGAGGGCAUGA